rnacentral:lncRNA from 1 species
CAGGCUUCAACCCACAAAGUCCUCCGAAGGUUUUAAUAGUCUCAUGGUGAGUUUUUUUUAUGGUCCCAUGAUUAGUUUUUCAAUGAAUAAGUCUUGUACAUUUCAUGUUUUUUUUUGAAAACUUCUAGAUAUUUUAAUGAUCUUAUAACGAGCUUUUUAGCAUUCUAAUGAUGAGGUUUUAAUGAACGCAUCAUGUGCUUUUAUUUUUUGAGAAUCCUUGAGACAUGCCUUCAAUUUUUUUCUAAGUUCAUGAUGAGCUUGAAACGAUGUCAUCAUGAGCUUUUUAUGAUUGUGUCAUGAGCUUUUAACGAUUGCAUCAUGAGCUUUUUCACGAUCUAGCACGUGGUUCAGCAGCCGCACUUUUCCUAGCUCAGCGCGGGCCGCCACCGAAACAAGAACUGAGGAACGAGCGCGUGAUGGAAGAGGAUAUUUGUGGGACGAGCGCCAGCGCGGAUGACGGCACCUAGUUGGAAUCUUCUGCCAAAACACGACCACGCAGAGCUUCACCAAUUAGCUCCACCCGAUUGAAAGUGUCUAGCAAAUGUGAUUGAAAGUGCUAUUCCCCACCGAUUUUACUCCCUAAAAACCACUCUCCCAAAAAGGAAAAAAGGAAAGUCCAACAGACAAGUUUUUUCAGCGUGUAAAAGAUGAAAAAUGGGAAGAGAGGAAAGAACCCACUAGGCCAACAUUUUCACGUACAUAUUGCAAGAUUAUAAAAGGGAAGAGGACAAAAAGGCCAAGGACGGGCUGGGCUCUCAGCUUGACUCUACACCGUCCAAAAUAAAAAAAAGGGAAAAGAGGGAAGGCCUGAAGAUGGAUUGUAGUUGUUGGGCUCUAGCACGAGGCCCACCGUGCGGAUAAAGGAGAGCGCCAACACGGGCU